rnacentral:rRNA from 1 species
GAUGAACGCUGGCGGCGUGCUUAACACAUGCAAGUCGAACGGAAAGGCCCAAGCUUGCUUGGGUCCUCGAGUGGCGAACGGGUGAGUAACACGUGGGUGAUCUGCCCUGCACUUCGGGAUAAGCCUGGGAAACUGGGUCUAAUACCGGAUAGGACCACUUCUUGGAUGUUGUGGUGGAAAGUUUUUUCGGUGUGGGAUGAGCUCGCGGCCUAUCAGCUUGUUGGUGGGGUAAUGGCCUACCAAGGCGUCGACGGGUAGCCGGCCUGAGAGGGUGUACGGCCACAUUGGGACUGAGAUACGGCCCAGACUCCUACGGGAGGCAGCAGUGGGGAAUAUUGCACAAUGGGCGCAAGCCUGAUGCAGCGACGCCGCGUGGGGGAGGACGGCCUUCGGGUUGGAAACUCCUUUCGCUAGGGACGAAGCGUUUUGUGACGGUACCUGGAGAAGAAGCACCGGCUAACUACGUG